CUCCUGCCUCACAGUGCCCCGCCUUCACUGCGUCCUCUGCUGGACAGCAUCGUCAACGCCACAGGAAGACUACCGCUGCUGGCCAUCCUACCACCACGGGAGCUGCCUCCUUUCAGUGUUCAACCUGGCUGAGGCCGUGGAUGUCUGUGAGAGCCAUGCCCAGUGUCGGGCCUUUGUGGUCACCAACCAGACCACCUGGACAGGUCGGCAGCUGGUCUUUUUCAAGACUGGAUGGAGCCAAGUGGUCCCUGAUCCCAACAAGACCACAUAUGUGAAGGCCUCUGGCUGACCUAUCUGAAGGCUCGGCUGACCAGCUGACUAUCCUCAGCAGCUGGGCUUGCCUGUGGAGGGAGUGACUUGCAUUGGCAGCACUGCAUGUCACCUGGGAACCCCUGCAGACAAAGCUAACAUCCCAGACAGACAGAUGUGACCAGGACAAACGUGCAAUAAUGCCAAAUGUUAAAAUGUGAGUUUACCAGCCUAGCUAUGGGACUGCUGGCUCCUAGUCCAGGAAUCAUGGGGGUAUGACUGCCUCUCCAACCCUCUGGGCUGUAAGCAAGCUCAGGCUAGUCUCCCCACUGGGGGCUGUGCCCCUCCCUGGGACGGUUCCGUGGGCAGCCCCAUCACUGUGUUCAAUAGUGUGAGAAUGUAGCUAAAGCCCCUGCUGCUGCUGCUGCACAUGCCACAGCAGGCGGGGGGGGCUGCGUGGGGACAAUCCAUCGUGGAGUGUUCUCUCAGCUUAGGUCUGGACAGGAGACUUGGCGGGGGAUGCUCCAGGAUGUGGGUG
rnacentral:sRNA from 1 species